rnacentral:rRNA from 1 species
CGGGGUGCAGCAGGCGCGAAACCUUCGCAAUGCGCGAAAGCGUGACGAGGGGACCCCGAGUUCCCCAGUACAACUGGGGAUUUUGUAGAGCGUAAAAAGCUUUAAGAAUAAGUGCUGGGUAAGACCGGUGCCAGCCUCCGCGGUAACACCGGCAGCGCAAGUGGUGGUCACGUUUAUUGGGCUUAAAGCGUCCGUAGUCGGUUCAGCAAGUUCCCUGUGAAAUCCUGCCGCUUAACGGUAGGGCUUGCAGGGAAUACUGCCGAGCUAGGGACCGGAAGAGGUCAGGGGUAUUCCCGGGGUAGCGGUGAAAUGUUAUAAUCCCGGGAGGACGACCCGCGGCGAAGGCGCCUGACUAGUACGGGUCCGACGAUGAGGGACGAGAGCUGGGGGAGCAAAACGGAUUAGAUACCCGUGUAGUCCCAGCCGUAAACGAUGCGGACUGAGUAUUGCACAAAUCUCGUAUUUGUGCAGUGCUGAAGGGAAACCGUUAAGUCCGCCGUCUGGGGAGUACGGUCGCAAGGCUGAAACUUAAAGGAAUUGGCGGGGGAACACCACAAGGGGUGGAGUCUGCGGUUCAAUUGGAUACAACGCCGGGAAACUCACCAGGGGCGACGGCAGUAUGAAAGCCAAGCUGAAGGUUUUGCUUGACGAGCCGAGAGGUAGUGCAUGGCCGUCGUCAGCUCGUACCGUGAGGCGUGCGGUUAAGUCCGUUAACGAGCAAGACCCGUGCCCUUAUUUGCGACCCUUUCCGAUGGGGAGGGGGCACUAUAAGGGGACCGGUGGCGAUGAGUCACAGGAAGGCGCGGGCGACGGUAGGUCUGUAUGCUCCGAAUCUCCUGGGCCACACGUGGACUACAAUGGCAUGAACAAUGAGUUGCAACGCCGAAAGGCGAAGCUAAUCCCCAAAUCAUGUCUUAGUUCGGAUCGAGGGCUGUAACUCGCCCUCGUGAAGAUGAAAUCCCUAGUAAUCGCUGGUCACCAUCCAGCGGUGAAUAUGUCCCUGUUCCUUGCACACACCGCCCGU